UAGCAUAUUUGUUGUUCACAGAACCCCCGGCUUAUUUCUUUUUUCGGAGCAUGUUCGUUAAUAUAUUUACCGUCUAAUUAUUAGCAGAAUUUUUUUUGAUUGACAGUCAGACCUGCUCCCUGUCGCAUGCGACCUUAAAGGCAUCGGCAUCAUUAACUUUCAUUUUUUGUGUUAUUUAUUGUUGUUUUCUUCUGUUCUUUGCAGGACCAAUGCAGUGAGAGAACCAAACUGUCACUUCUGGUAAUGAGGAGCAUAAACGCCACGUCUCCAUUGGCCGCUGCCGGCCGGGCGCUCGGCGGUAAUUGCUUUUCACGCGGCUUUUAUGGGCCAAUCAGGAGCAAGGAGGCAGGAAGCCGCAGCGUGGAUUUAUGAGGUGGGAUAAGCCACCCUCGCCUCGCCCCAGCCGUCCUCCUCCGAGAGGCCGUGAAUCGAUCUUCCCCCCACAACAAAGUGACAAAAUGACGAAUGCUCCAGGAUUCAAUCUCCCGACGGCUCUGCGGUAGGAACUUGAUUAGUUCAACCCUGGAUGGAUUUUCACAUUCAUAGAGGCCCGUCGCACCCUUCCCGUGAGAGAAGGAUAAAUAAAUGCAGGCCAUGCUUUUUCCCCUUUCCCGUAAUAUCAGACUGGAAUAGCCGUGACAAAAAAAAAAAAAAAAAAACACACACACAGGCCAGCAAAAAUAUCAAACAUGACCCAGUUGCGGUGUGUAAUGUGGAGGU